rnacentral:lncRNA from 1 species
GAUGAAAUUACUUUUUAAAAAAUUUAAUAUAUGGAUUCUUCAUUUACAAAUUAACAAUUUUCACAACAAAUAAUCUUGAAGUUAAUUAAGUGAUAGUAAUGAACUAAUGAUGUCUCAUUGAAGGUUAUGAUUUACUAUUAGCAAUGAUGAUUGAUGAGACUCUAUUGAGUGAUUUAAAAGUUUAUUGAAGGGAAUAGGGGCCAGUGAAAAAUGAUGACGACGAUGAUGAUGUUAUUAUGAGAAUCUAAUCUUAAUUGUAAUUUGAUUUUGAUGACAGCAUUCGUGAUUACUCACUAUUUUAGUGAUCAUAACAGAUGAUAAGGUAAUAAGAAUUAAAUAACAAUGAAAAUUAUCAUUAGAAAUUAUAUCACAGUAUAGCUGAUAGUCAUAAAGGAAAUAAUUACACAUUUACAACAAUAUCAACAUGCUACUAAAGUUGUGGUUCCCAUAUCAAUAAAUCGACUCAACUAUUAAGGUAAGCCCACUAAUGAUAGGGAUUGCAAAAAAAUUGAAGGCAUGUUAUGUUAAGAUCAAGUAUAAGAUCUGAUUUUAUUUUUAUUUUAUAAAAAAGA